rnacentral:rRNA from 1 species
AGUGAACGCUGGCGGUAGGCCUAACACAUGCAAGUCGAACGGCAGCACAGUAAGAGCUUGCUCUUACGGGUGGCGAGUGGCGGACGGGUGAGGAAUACAUCGGAAUCUACUUUUUCGUGGGGGAUAACGUAGGGAAACUUACGCUAAUACCGCAUACGACCUACGGGUGAAAGCAGGGGAUCUUCGGACCUUGCGCGAUUGAAUGAGCCGAUGUCGGAUUAGCUAGUUGGCGGGGUAAAGGCCCACCAAGGCGACGAUCCGUAGCUGGUCUGAGAGGAUGAUCAGACACACUGGAAAUGAGACACGGUCCCGACUCCUACGGGAGGCAGCAGUGGGGAAUAUUGGACAAUGGGCGCAAGCCUGAUCCAGCCAUACCGCGUGGGUGAAGAAGGCCUUCGGGUUGUAAAGCCCUUUUGUUGGGAAAGAAAAGCAGCAGGUUAAUACCCCGCUGUUCUGACGGUACCCAAAGAAUAAGCACCGGCUAACUUCGUG